rnacentral:rRNA from 1 species
CAACUCGACUACAUGAAGCUGGAAUCGCUAGUAAUCGCGAAUCAGAAUGUCGCGGUGAAUACGUUCCCGGGUCUUGUACACACCGCCCGUCACACCAUGGGAGUCAGUAACGCCCGAAGUCAGUGACCCAACCUUAUGGAGGGAGCUGCCGAAGGCGGGACCGAUAACUGGGGUGAAGUCGUAACAAGGUAUC